rnacentral:rRNA from 1 species
UACGUAGGGUGCAAGCGUUAAUCGGAAUUACUGGGCGUAAAGCGUGCGCAGGCGGCUUUGCAAGACAGAUGUGAAAUCCCCGGGCUUAACCUGGGAACUGCAUUUGUGACUGCAUGGCUAGAGUGCGGCAGAGGGGGAUGGAAUUCCGCGUGUAGCAGUGAAAUGCGUAGAUAUCGUGAGGAACACCAGAGGCGAAGGCGACUACCUGGACAAUUGCUGACACUCAGGCACGAAAGCUAGGGGAGCAAACAGG